rnacentral:lncRNA from 1 species
AUUAUAUUUCAUUAAAUAUAUGAAAAAACUUCAAAUACUACACUGUGGUUUCGCACUUUCUCACUUUAGUACCUUAUGGUUUAAAGUGUAUCAAUUCAGUACCCUGUGAUUUCACUUUUCUCUUUUUGUUGCCUCCUCAGUCCUCACUUAGCAUUUCGUUAAAUUAUAUACAAAAAACUUCAGAUACCCCAUCUAGAUUUAUCGAAUAUUUACUUUAGUAUUUUUUAAUUUUAACUAUGUCGCUAAUUUAAUAAAAAAAAAAUUAGCGUAAGGGAUAAUAAAAAUAAAAAAAAUGAAAUCAUGGGGUACUAAAUUGAUACACUUUAAAUCACAGGGUACUAAAAUAAAAAAAGUGCGAAACGACAAAAGUGGUAUUUGAAGUUUUUCCUAAAUAUAACAAUGGUU